AGAAAAAAGAAUAUUUAGAACAGAGCAGUUUACUCAGAUGAAUGAGUCAGUCAGGAUGACCACUUCCUUGGAAAAAUGCUGUUCUUGUUCUUGACAAAUUCAGAAGGUAAUCUUCCUUUUACUGAAAAAAUGCCAAUAUAAACUCUGUUUAGAAGACAAGGACUGUUUUUUAACUUACAGGAGCUUACUAAAUAGUUUAUAUAAUAGAUUUUGUUUUGCAUCUAAAUCUAUCUGCUCAUAGUUGGAUAUAUCCAAGAAGUUUGUAUUGUUAGGAUCGUAUGUAUUAUAUUUAUGGAAAUGUCUUUCAGCCUGAAGGAUCCCAGUGCACUUAUGAAUACUUCAAUUCAUUACUGGAACGAAUUCUUUUCCCAAUAAAUCAGGAGCUUUGUUUCUUAGGUGAGAUAUGCUGUGGUACAGCCAUACAGAUGGGUAGAAGCACAUAGCUUUCAAGACAAUUUAAACAACAAGAUCCAUCAGAUCUUCCUGGGCAAGGUGACUAUGAAAACAUGCACGGUAUUAUUUAUGUAUGUAUGUAUGUAUGUAUGUAUGUAUGUAUGUAUGUAUGUAUUUAUUUAUUUAUUUAUUUUUGUAGGGGAAUAUUGACUUAGGAUUUUUAGUAUUUUACACAGGUUUAAAUUAGAGAUGCCUUUUUUGUUCUCCAAGGCACAUUCAAUUCAAAAGUAAAAAUCUUUUAUAAUGCACUUACUGCAUAUACUGAAAAUAUACUUUUUUUUUUUCUCCCCAAAAGAAAUGAACACAUACAUGAAUGUAAAAGAGAUACUAAUCUAAUAAGAUGUGUAAAAGUGUUUAUUUUGGAUCUAGUUCAAGUCCCCAUGAGUUUGAUCCUUAUUUAAAUACAGAGAAAAUUAAACCCAUUUUUGGAUAGAUCUACAGAAGAGUACAGUGCUGAAACUCUUGAGAAAUUUAAGCAGGACAAUUGAAUUAUACCAGGCUGGAAUUUGGACAUUUGUUUAGACUAACAUUUUUUGCUUAUCAAGGGUACCUUUCACUUCCUUGUUCCUUUACUUCACAAUUAACAGCUCGGGUUGGGAUUUUGGCCUAGAAAUUAUACUUUCAUUGACUUUAAUGAUGUGCAGUUCAGCACUUGGAGUUCAUGGUACAUAUUUCAUAAUGCUGAUAAGCUGAUAGUGGAGGCAUUUUUUAAAUGCUACUGGCUAUCUCACAGCAAAUUUCCAUUUAGAGAGAGUCACGCAAUUCUGUUAUCUGUUCUCAUUUAAUCUGUGGUCAAGGUAGAACUUACACAAAAUUUAAUGCAUGCUCAUGCACAGGUUUAGCAAUAAUAGGGUGGCAGUUGUGAAAUAUAUCUAAAACUUCAGAAGAUAAGGUCUCAGAUGAAGAUGAAUUUGUUCCCUAAAAAGUAUGUAUUCUUGAUAUGUUUUGUGCAGACAUACUGAGUUUGUGCAGGCUCCAGUAUUUGAAUCAACAGCAGGAAUGGAGACAGAGCCCAAAGUAGGAAGUGAUGCUGUGGGGGCUCCUGUGCUUGCCUAUAUAGCCAGUGUUGACACUGGUGCCUUGAGUUAGUAAGUAAAGGCUGGAGUUUGUACAGAGGUACCACAAUUCAUUUAAUUUCCUCAGUGUUUAUUAUAAAAGUUUGCAAGUUCAAGCUGAAGACAGCAUGAUCCUCUGUUAUUGUUUUACAACAAUAAACACUGCUAAUAGUAAAGAGAGAUAUUUUAC
rnacentral:lncRNA from 1 species